rnacentral:lncRNA from 1 species
UCGUGCUUGUACAGAAUCUGACUAGGUAUGGCCAAUUUCAGAAAAGCUCUCUUGUUUCUUCUUGUUCUUCUUGUGAUGUUUUCUUUGGUGAGCUGUAGAUAAGUGUCAAGCAGCUUCCAAUUGAGUGCAGGAAGGGUAUUGAUGAAAGCUACAACAACAUUUGCAAAUGUUGCUCUGUGAUUGGAAGCAGCUCUCAGUACUGCAAGGAAGUAAUCCUUUGUGCACCGGCACCAUUGUGAUCAUUUAGAGUGUUAUGUACAACACAGAAGAAUAAUAUACCUUUGUAGCAAAGAAAUACAAGACCAGUUUUCUUUUGUCUUGUUUCUCGCUUUUUGUGUGCUAGGCAGUGGAAAGUAAUUUCG